UUGCACAGUGAACACCCAAGUGUGCUUUAUAGUUCCCUUGGCUUUGACUCUGUGCUAGAGCAAUGUCUGUUCUUUUCCUCUGCAUUGAAAGGACUGUUCAUCCUUUUAAAUGUAUUCAUAAAGUCAGCACAUUA